UACAGAGGGCCCGAGCGUUGUUCGGAUUCACUGGGCGUAAAGGGUGCGUAGGUGGCUUGAAAAGUUUGAUGUGAAAGCUCAGGGCUUAACCCUGAAAUGGCAUUGAAUACUGUCGGGCUGGAGGUUUGGAGGGGGGACUGGAAUUCUUGGUGUAGCAGUGAAAUGCGUAGAUAUCAAGAGGAACACCAGUGGCGAAGGCGAGUCCCUGGACAACACCUGACACUGAGGCACGAAAGCUAGGGGAGCAAACAGG
rnacentral:rRNA from 1 species